rnacentral:ncRNA from 1 species
AAAUAAUUAAUAUUUUUUGAUAGUUUAUUAAUUUUAAAUUAUUAGUUAAUAUUUAAUAUUUAAAAUUGUAGUAAUUUAUAUUUAAGAAAAUUAGGGUUAUUGUCAAAUAUUUUGUGCCAGCAGUCGCGGUUAAACAAAAAAUAAAUUAAUUUUAUUUAAAUUGAAAUAUUUAUAAAUAUUAGUUAUUUAAUUAAUAUAUAGAUUAAAAAAGUUAAGUUUUAUAGGUGAAAUUUUAAUAAUUUAAUAAUUUAUAAAUUUAAGUAAAGUUGAUAUAUAAUUAUUUAUUUUUACGUGAUUAAUAUAAACUAGGAUUAGAUACCCUAUUAUAAUUCAUUAAUUUUAUUAAUUUAUAUUAUUAAGUUUAAAAUUAUUAAUAGUUUAAUUCUAAAAAAUUAAGAUAAAUGGCGGUUAAUUAUUUAAUUUAGAGGAACUUACAUUUUAAUUGAUAUUUCACGAUAAAUUUUAUUUUCUUUAAAGUUCAUAUAUCGUUGUUAAAAAAGUUUAUAUAAUUUUAUUUAAAAAUUUAAGAAUUAAAAUUUUAAGUUAUAUCAAAUCAAGAUAUGGUAAUAAGUAAGGUUGUUGUGAGUUACAUUAAAUAAAAUUUUUGGAUAUUAAUAAUUGAAAUUUAUUAUUGAAAUUGGAUUUAAUAGUAAUUAUUAUAAAUUAUUUAUAAUGAUAAUAAUUUUAAUUUAUGUACAUAUUGCCCGUCACUCUUUUUAAUAUAUAUUUUAAAGGUAAGUCGUAACAUAGUAGGGGUACUGGAAAGUGUUUCUAGAUAGAA